AUGGAUGCUGUACAUAAUGUUAUGACAAUAUGUGCUAAUGCAUUAAACGAUCAAGAAAGAAACUCUGUUACAAAAGCUAUGGAAGUAGAAGCUGAAGCAACUAAAACAUAUAAAAUUGCAUUAAAAGCAGCUAAUAAUGCAAAUGAAUCAGCAAACGAAGCUAAAAAAUUAUCAGAAAUAUAUGAAGAUACAACAUCAACAGAAAUGGCAAAUACGUCUUUGGAAAGCACUAAAAAACUUAUGAUGGAAAUAGUAAAGGCAGAAAAAGCAGUUAAAGAAGCAAACAAAAAUGUAGACGAAUUGAAAAAUGAGGCAGUUGCUAGGGUGGCACAACAUUUGGCUAAAACUAAGGAGUUUGCGAAAAUAGCAGAAGAAGCAAAAAUUGAACUAAUGAACGCAUUGAAUGGGUUAAAAACGACAACAAAAUCUGAAAUUACAUUGAAAACAACAAAAGAUUGUAAAAAUGUUUCUAAAAAAGCUAUUACAGCUGCAAAAAAUGCAUUUGAGUAUGCAAAUUUAGCCAAGGAUGAAGCAAAAACUACAAAACGUGCUAUAGCAAUAAGAGAUGCAAUUAAAGCAAGAGAAAUCGCGGAAAAAGCUAAAGCCUUUGCAGAAAAUGCAGACAAAAUUACAAAUGAAAUAUGGAUAGCAGAAGAAAAAUAUAAUUUAGAAGCCAUACAAAAAGAUAAAAAAGAAGAAGAGACAGUAGAAAAAGCUAAAAUUGUAAACAAAAGUGACACAGAAAAAGCAGAAAAUAUGAUUAAAUUAACUGAUAAGGAUGAUAAAAAUACAAACAUGUCUGAUAUUAAUAUUGCUGAUAAAAAGAAUAUUCAAACAGGUGAUGUAAUAGAAAGCAAAUUAAAUGAUUACGAUAUGUCACAUACAAGAAAUAUACAUUUUCAUGGUAAUUUAGAAAAGCAUAAUGAUAAAUUAAAUGAUUUAAAUGAUCACGAAACAAAAGGUGUUGAUGUAACAGAACUGUCUAUUGAUGAAACAUGCAAACACCAGCGCGCUACAGACUAUUGUAUUAAUUUUAAUAAAAAUGAUUUUUCAAAGAUGUGUGCUAAUCUAAUGAAAAAUGGACUUUGCUGUAAAAUUGCAGAAAAAUGUUUAGUUAACCCUCAAAUUAAGGAUGAAGAAUAUUUGCAGUGUGUUAACCACGAAAUUAAUACGUCGUUACCGAGUUGUUUUAAAAACAGAUCAUUUGGAAGUACGUUAAAUGAAUAUGUUUAA
rnacentral:lncRNA from 1 species